UCAACUGUGAGUUCUGAUCAUAUCCUUCCAGGGAAGGUCAGAGACUUAGACAUUGAUUUGAUCCACGUUGAUGCUACUUUUUUCAACUCAUUCAACAAGGAGAGUCAUGCACUUUCACUGCAAGUUGGGGGCUAUGCAAAGAGGAGAUUGCUGAUGCUAGAUUAUGUUUUCUCAAAUUAAAGAAAUUUGUGAUACAUUGACUAUUUGUGGCAACUCAAUCCCUAAGGUUGAGCAAAUAGAGACGAUCUUGUCCUGAAUGGCCUACCUCAAAAGUUUGAUUCAUUAAUGGCCAUAAUUAAUACAAGUAGAGAACCUUAGACUUUUCAGCGUGUUGUAUUCGUUUUGAUUUAUGCUUAAUCAAGGUUGAAAAUUCUUGUGAGAUUGCCACUGGCAAUCAACACUGAUUCACUCUAGUUUUCAACCUUUUAUGGUGAACACUGUGGAUCGACAUCACAGGAUGCCAUGUCCUUAUUCUCAGUUUUUUUUUGCAAGGGUAGAGGUGUUACAAUUCACAACAUCUUCAAUGGGAGUUAUGUGGUAAGAUGGGCUAUCUAGUGGAUCGAUGCUUUCACAGGUUUAAUCACCCUUACCUUAGGGUCACUUUCAGGAUGAAAAAUCAAGUGAAAUUCUACUAAGACAUGUGGCGCUUGAUGGACUCCAUAAGUUUGGGACGUUGGAUGAGGCUGAUGGUUCGUAUACAAAUGAUGCUGACAGAGACUACACUAAAGCAAAAUGUGGAUUAAGUACCAGUAAUGAGCAGUUACAUUGGAUGUGUAUGUUGGAAGCGUAAUCGACACUCAAAAUCAAAUUAAUUUAUUACUCACAAAUAUAUAAGAAAGAAAACUUACAGAUAUAUAAA